rnacentral:rRNA from 1 species
CCUACGGGUGGCAGCAGUGAGGAAUAUUGGUCAAUGGACGAGAGUCUGAACCAGCCAAGUAGCGUGAAGGAUGACUGCCCUAUGGGUUGUAAACUUCUUUUAUAUGGGAAUAAAAUGUUACACGUGUGGGAUUUUGUAUGUACCAUAUGAAUAAGGAUCGGCUAACUCCGUGCCAGCAGCCGCGGUAAUACGGAGGAGCCGGGCGUUAUCCGGAGUUAUUGGGUUUAAAGGGAGCGUAGGUGGAUUGUUAAGUCAGUUGUGAAAGUUUGCGGCUCAACCGUAAAACUGCAGUUGAAACUGGCAGUCUUGAGUACAGUAGAGGUGGGCGGAAUUCGUGGUGUAGCGGUGAAAUGCUUAGAUAUCACGAAGAACUCCGAUUGCGAAGGCAGUUCACUGGACUGCAACUGACACUGAGGCUCGAAAGUGUGGGUAUCAAACAGGAUUAGAUACCCCAGUAGUC